rnacentral:rRNA from 1 species
GCUUACACAUGCAAGUCGAGCGGUAACAGAGAUAGCUUGCUAUCUGCUGACGAGCGGCGGACGGGUGAGUAAUGCUUGGGAAUAUGCCUUUGAGUGGGGGACAACAGUUGGAAACGACUGCUAAUACCGCAUAACGUCUACGGACCAAAGGGGGGGAUGCUUCGGCACCUCUCGCUCAUUGAUUAGCCCAAGUGAGAUUAGCUAGUUGGUAAGGUAAUGGCUUACCAAGGCGACGAUCUCUAGCUGGUUUGAGAGGAUGAUCAGCCACACUGGGACUGAGACACGGCCCAAACUCCUACGGGAGGCAGCAGUGGGGAAUAUUGCACAAUGGGCGAAAGCCUGAUGCAGCCAUGCCGCGUGUGUGAGGAAGGCCUUCGGGUUGUAAAGCACUUUCAGCGAGGAGGAAAGGUUAGUAGUUAAUAGCUGCUAGCUGUGACGUUACUCGCAGAAGAAGCACCGGCUAACUUCGUGCCAGCAGCCGCGGUAAUACGAGGGGUGCAAGCGUUAAUCGGAAUUACUGGGCGUAAAGCGUGCGUAGGUGGUUUGUUAAGCAAGAUGUGAAAGCCCCGGGCUCAACCUGGGAACUGCAUUUUGAACUGGCAAA